GCAUUAUGCAUCGUUUGGCAGCCUGGGCGCGACGUGACGACGGCCGCGUAUCGCUAACGUGGAACACAGAUUGAAAUAAAGGGAAACGAUGAAGCAGUGCAACAAGCUACCUGCAUAAUAGUGCAUGAGUACCUGUCAACAGCGAGUGACAUAGUGCCGCUGAGGUCCAGGAGUACGCAGCACUCGCCAUCGCUUCCCUCACUGUGCCCCUCCUCUGGUGACAUGCCACAAACACACACUUAACAAGUUCCUAGCUAGCUGGCACGAUACACUCUGGAGCCCCAGCCACUAAAUAUCCCACUACAUAUAAUAGCAACAAGGUUACAAGUGUACUAAUCUAAUAAAAGCGUGUGUUCUAUAGUAAGUAUACUGAUUUGUAGCAAACUCCGAAGUAGGAGCAAAAAUCCAGGAUUCCACAGGAUUCUUUCAAUAAUAAUAAAGCAUCCGGUCUUUAUUUGAGCAUGAUACGGCAACACAUUAAAUGAAACAUAUUUUCGUUUUAUUCUGAACUAAUAAACACCAUGAUUGAUGA